GACGAACGCUGGCGGCGUGCUUAACACAUGCAAGUCGAACGAUGAAGCUGGAGCUUGCUCCGGUGGAUUAGUGGCGAACGGGUGAGUAACACGUGAGCAAUCUGCCCUUGACUCUGGGAUAACUGCGGGAAACUGUAGCUAAUACCGGAUACGAGGCUCGAAGGCAUCUUCGGGUCUGGAAAGAAUUUCGGUCAAGGAUGAGCUCGCGGCCUAUCAGCUUGUUGGUGAGGUAAUGUCUCACAAAGGCGACGACGGGUAGCCGGCCUGAGAGGGUGACCGGCCACACUGGAACUGAGACACGGCCCAGACUCCUACGGGGGGCAGCAGAGGGGAAUAUUGCACAAUGGGCGAAAGCCUGAUGCAGCAACGCCGCGUGAGGGAUGAAGGCCUUCGGGUUGUAAACCUCUUUUAGCAGGGAAGAAGCGAAAGUGACGGUACCUGCAGAAAAAGCACCGGCUAACUACGUGCCAGCCGCCGCCGCGG
rnacentral:rRNA from 1 species